rnacentral:rRNA from 1 species
AGUGAACGCUGGCGGUAGGCCUAACACAUGCAAGUCGAACGGCAGCACAGUAAGAGCUUGCUCUUACGGGUGGCGAGUGGCGGACGGGUGAGGAAUACAUCGGAAUCUACUUUUUCGUGGGGGAUAACGUAGGGAAACUUACGCUAAUACCGCAUACGACAUACGGGUGAAAGCAGGGGGUCUUCGGACCUUGCGCGAUUGAAUGAGCCGAUGUCGGAUUAGCUAGUUGGCGGGGUAAAGGCCCACCAAGGCGACGAUCCGUAGCUGGUCUGAGAGGAUGAUCAGCCACACUGGAACUGAGACACGGUCCAGACUCCUACGGGAGGCAGCAGUGGAGAAUAUUGGACAAUGGGCGCAAGCCUGAUCCAGCCAUACCGCGUGGGUGAAGAAGGCCUUCGGGUUGUAAAGCCCUUUUGUUGGGAAAGAAAAGCAGCAGGUUAAUACCCCGCUGUUCUGACGGUACCCAAAGAAUAAGCACCGGCUAACUUCGUG